rnacentral:rRNA from 1 species
UACGAAGGGGGCGAGCGUUGUUCGGAUUUACUGGGCGUAAAGGGCGCGUAGGCGGCCAACUAAGUCGGACGUGAAAUCCCUCGGCUUAACCGGGGAACUGCGUCCGAUACUGGAUGGCUUGAGGUUGGGAGAGGGAUGCGGAAUUCCAGGUGUAGCGGUGAAAUGCGUAGAUAUCUGGAGGAACACCGGUGGCGAAGGCGGCAUCCUGGACCAAUUCUGACGCUGAGUGAGCGAAAGCCAGGGGAGCAAACGGG